rnacentral:rRNA from 1 species
GAUGAACGCUGGCGGCGUGCCUAAUACAUGCAAGUCGAGCGAACGGACGAGAAGCUUGCUUUUCUGAUGUUAGCGGCGGACGGGUGAGUAACACGUGGAUAACCUACCUAUAAGACUGGGAUAACUUCGGGAAACCGGAGCUAAUACCGGAUAAUAUUUUGAACCGCAUGGUUCAAAAGUGAAAGACGGUCUUGCUGUCACUUAUAGAUGGAUCCGCGCUGCAUUAGCUAGUUGGUAAGGUAACGGCUUACCAAGGCAACGAUGCAUAGCCGACCUGAGAGGGGGGUCGCCCACAGGGGAACGGAGACAGGGCCCAGCCGCCGAGGGGAGGCAGAAGUGGGGAUUCUUCGGAAAGGGGCGAAAGCCUGACGGGGCACCGCGGGGGGGGUGAUGAAGGUUUGCGGAUCGUAAAACUCUUUUAUGGGGGAAAAACAUAUGUGUAAGUAACUGUGCACAUCUGGACGGUACCUAAUAAAAAAGCACCGGCAAACGACGGG